GGAAAGCCAGUCAAGAGGAUGACCGAACUGCAGAUGAGAAGGAAUAAAUGGAGUGAGGCGGUUAAGAAGGGAGGAUCCUGAAUGCAGAAUACACCCUGGUAGAAGCACGUCUCACUUUGGACUGGCCAUGGUUUAAGGAUUUCUCAGACCUGGUGGCUGAUGGCUACUGCACUGGACAGUCAUGGGUGAAGAAGAGGAUCCUGUGAGGAGUGAGACUGAUUUUCAACUUCCUCCUCUCUGCCAGGUCUAUUUUCCUUUGCUGUUCAAGUACCAUGUGAGAAAUACAUAACUUCUGGGAAGCACAGAAAAGACAGUUCAACUCCUUCAUUAUUUCUCUCUCCUCUUACCAACCUAUUCUUGGACGUCUGUAGAUUCGAAAUUGCACACUCAGGUAUGCU